GUUAAAGACAAUUUAUGUUGAUUUAUUGAUAUUAUGAUAUGAUAAUAAGUAGGUCAAUUGAAAUAAUUGAACGUCGUACAAGUAUUUAGUAUUUUUUUUUAAUUAUAGAAUAACAACUGAACACAGGUGUAUUAAAUAUGAAAAAUCUUAAUUAAUUUUUUUUAUUGUCAAAAAAUAAUUAGAAGAGAAUGGAAAUGUAAUAAUCAUACAAGCAUAACAUUACUCACGUGCAGAGGCUGUUAGUUUCAUUGAAGCUAUGAAUAUAAAAAGUGUAAUAAAUGAAACUGGACCAUUAGGAAAAUCAAUUUUUAAAAGUUACACUAAUUCCACCCCACACCAGUUCCCAAGGAACCACAGGGAUCAAAUUUUUAUAUCAAGAGCUGUUGCUGAUGCUGGAUUAAAAAUUAAUCCCAAACUGAGUGUGACUGAUAUAAUCAUGAUGUAUAAAAAAAUUUGUGAUACAUUUGUUGAUAAAAAGCCGGAAGCUUACUUUCAAAAAUCGCCUGAGGGUGGUUAUUCUGGUUCUUUAUGGAACUGUGUUGAAAAUAAAAAGCAAGAGAUAUCAAACAUCAGGAAAUCGAUAGAACCAAUAAUAGCUGAAGAACAACCUGAUGAAGAUGUACUAUCAAAUAAAAACUUCAUUGAUGAAAAUACGUGUGAACCUUGGGAUCGAGUUGAGAGAGCUUGAACAGUAACACGAUUUCUACGUAAAAAAGAUUUGCAAUCAAAUUAAUUACCUAAAAAAAGAGAAAAACGUAAGCCAGCCCUGGUGGAAAUAAUUUCUCCGUAAAACUCCGGAAAAACUCCGUAAAAUUCCGGAAACACUCCGUAAAAUUCCGAAAAACUCCGUAAAAGUCCGGAAACACUCCGUAAAAGUCCGGAAAUACUCCGUAAAAUUCCGGAAUUGGCCCAUUAAAAUUUUUCGGUCAUUUUUUUUCCUUCAUUUUACACAGGAAUUCGAGUAUUUUGGAAUUGCAACCGAUUUUUCGUAUUUUUUCGAAUUUUUUCUAAGUGGGCCAAUUCCGGAAUAAUCCGGAGCAAUUCCGGAGCAAUCCGGAGAAAUUCCGGAGAAAUAUUUCCACCAGGGAGGUGAUUUUCUUCCAGAAGAAGAUUUUUUCAAUAAAAGCCUAGCUUAAAAUAUCCAUCUGGAUACCAACUCAUUAAGCUUGAUUUUUAUGCCUAGUAUCCUGAUGCUUGUAAUUUUACAAUUGAAAAGCUAGACCAGCUCAUUCACAAACUAGAAGUUAUAAGAUCACAGAAAAAUGAAAGCGAACAACUUAAAUGGGCACAAGAUAUAAAUGAAUUGAAAAAAUCAAUCAUUUCAAGAACAAAAAAUGUAGACAUAAAAAAUGCAUCAAAAAUAAAAAUGCUAAGUUUUCUCAUGCCACCACAUGGUAGAGCAAACAGGAAAAAAAACAACAGUUGUCGAUGUGCACAAAAGCAUGAUUUUUCACGUUCAGACUGCUGAUGCUGUUGAUGAAGCAAUCAGUGCAAGAUCUCAAUAUUAAAAAAGUAUAAACAAAGAUUUACAAUCAAUUUUGGUUGUCGUUGGUGUUGAUUGGAAUCAUUUGAAAGAAUACAUUUGCUGCAUCAACAAUGUGAGAUGGAAAUUUCCAGAUUUUUUGACUAGAUUGGACGUUGUUUUUAAAUCCUUCUAUGCACUAGACAUGAAAUACCCUUAUGAAAGUGAGGUUCAUUGGGGUGUUAUUCAGAGUUUGAUGUAUGAAAUACCAAGUCAAGUACAUUCAGAAGCCAUCGGUAUUAUAGGAAAUAUAUCUAGUACUCCUGAUGCACGAGAAAUCAUAUAUAGACUUGAUCGUGAUGAAGAUGAGAUUGAACAAGACAUUAAAAACCAAAUUAGAGAAGUACCAAACGUUCAAGACCAUGAAGACCAAGAAAAUGAAAAUGACUAAAGUAAAAAAAGAACCAGACGUUAAAGAUUGAUGAUAUUUUUAUCUAGCUGGAUCAUUAUAUAUGAAGAUAUAUAACUACAUUUUAUGUCACAGAAAAAUCAGUUUUCAAAGAUAAUGAUUGUUCCGGGUCGAACCACAUGUCUGUCGGUCCCAGACUGACCAGAUUUUUAUUCUUUUUAUUUUUUAAACUCUAUACAAUAAGUUGAUAAGUUUUAAACAUUACUCUGUUUUUUAUGGCUAGAUCACGAGAUCAUACAAUUUCAAAUAACAUAUGACUAACAAUUUUGGUUUAUAUUUUUUCUAAAAUAUUUUAAACAACGA